UACGUAGGGUGCAAGCGUUAUCCGGAAUUAUUGGGCGUAAAGAGCUCGUAGGCGGUCUGUCGCGUCUGCUGUGAAAUCUGGGGGCUCAACCCCCAGCCUGCAGUGGGUACGGGCAGACUAGAGUGCGGUAGGGGAGAUUGGAACUCCUGGUGUAGCGGUGAAAUGCGCAGAUAUCAGGAGGAACACCGAUGGCGAAGGCAGGUCUCUGGGCCACUACUGACGCUGAGAAGCGAAAGCAUGGGGAGCGAACAGG
rnacentral:rRNA from 1 species